AUAUAUUGUUAUUACAUAUAUCUGUAUUGUAAAUAAUUUUUUGGAUAUGGGAAACUGAUUUUUUUAAAGGCUGAUGGGUAUGAAAUCAACUCCGUCAACUAAAAGAAGUCAGAAGCUUUGAUCCAAAGGAUCUAACUUUGAUCAACCAGGUCACCUAUCACCUUGACAUAUGAAAGGGUCUUCAAAGGAAAGACUCAGACUUCAUAGUUUUACAGUGCGAUUGUGAACAUGAUUCUUAUCUGGUGACAUUUACACGGCCUAAAUUACAAAAUGGGGACUCUUUUCCUGAGACUGAAGUAAAUUUAUCAGAUUCAAAAGAUGAUUAGCAAUACUGUGACAGGAAAUAAGAAAGUGAGAAAAUCUUUCUGAAGAGGCUUUCUUCUUUUUGCCAACAGGUCAAAGAAAUAAAAGGAGGAAAAUACUAACAGACCGACAACAUUUCUAAAAUUUAGGUUAAAGAAGACCAUCAGAGAAAGUAGAAAAGGCAACAGAACUGAAAUUCUCUUUGGGAUAAUUACACCAGGCAGCUCAUAGAAUAUACACUGCUUCAAAAAUAUUUUUAAAGAGAUGCACCAAGAGAGAAAAGCACCAAAAAAAGUUUCCUAAGUGUUUGAGGUGUUCUGUCAAGCAAUAAAACAUUUUCAUUCAAAAUCAAUUAUAUGGUACCAUGAGGAACUGAGCAAGUAAAGACCAAGAAUUUUAACUUAUAUUUCCUUUGAGGUCAUAUGAGAACAUGGACAAUCCAUACCCAAAUGCCAUAGGCUAAUCCCGCUUCAACUUUUAUGGCCAGAGACCUGGCUCCUAGUUAUAAAGUACCCUCGAAACAGCAAACUAUGGCAGCCCUUUUUGGAUUUUCUUCCUGAUUAUUGGAUGCUUUCUUUCUGUUUUCUUACACUUCAAAUAAACAUUCCU